UUGGUUAUUAGAAAAGCACAAACAUUCACAUUUCCAUAACAUUCCAUCCUCUUAUCACUUAUCACGUGUGAUGAUAAUCAUUACAUUUUAAUGUAAGCAUUUAGAUUAUAGCUUCUAUAUCAUAAUAUUCUAUACUCAUAUUAAAGUUAGGGAAAUCAAUGCAGAAAAAAACAGGCACUUCAUAAUUUCAAGCCCUUCAUUUUGGGUUGAUCAAUCUAAUUAAUGGUAAUACAAUUUUUUUAUUUUACCUUUAUUUAACUAGGCAAGUCAGUUAAGAACAAAUUCUUAUUUACAACGAAUGCCUAGGAACAGUGGGUUAACUGCCUUGUUUAGGGGUAGAAUUAUAUAUUUUUUUAACCUUGUCAGCUCUGGGAUUCGAUCUAGCAACCUUUCAAACAGGGAUUCCAACCAAGUUGCAGUCGUCCACUCUGGUUGUGGGGAAUUAUUCUUAGCAACAGCGGCAAUGUAUUCGGCGAGAUCAGUCAUAUUAGAAGAGUGAUCUGGGACAAAGGUACAACAUUCAUCGCCAUUGUUUGCACAAGUGUCCCCUUUACCUGCCAAAAGAUAGUUAAGAACCUCUCUGUUUUGCAGAGCCAAUUUACGCAAUUCUUUUAGCAUUGCUAAUUUUCUCUAUAUCUCUAGAGAUCUCCCGAAUUUGGCCUAGAGCACAUUCAUAUUAACUUUCACAGAGAAGAGAGAGAACACAUGUUAUAACAGUUUCACACCAACCUUGAUAAGAAUGGGAUUGGGGCAAGGUUAGCCCAAGCUACAAUCUAGUGGCUCUCCUCACAAUUUAGGGGCAUAGCUCUGUCUCUAGAAGCCUCUCCUUUCCAUGUCAUAAUUAUAAAUAUUGAUAAAUUAUCCAACCCAAAUUUAGAAUGACAGUCCUUAGUGCUUCACGUUGGUUCUAUCACGUAAAUUUAAGACCCUCAUCAAUAAAUCAAACAGAGUUUUAACGACUAACAAAUAUUAAUUAACAGGUGGGUUGUGUGUUGGUGCUGGCAUGUAUAUAGUAAAAAUCGUAGGGUAAAAACAAACAAAAUGGCCAGGCCUUACUUAAUUUGGGAGCUCCCUUAACAGCUGGAUCCGGGUACCUUUAACUGCUCUCCUAAGGCACUUGCCUUGGGCAUCCUUUCAAAGGGAGAGAUACAGAAUCAUUGAUAAACAUAGAAAAAAAACUUGAUAUACACAUCAGAUGAUACAGUGUCCCGUCAAGCUGAAUAGGCACCUUCUAAAGUAAACAAAGCCAGAGUCCCUCUCUUGUAAUCAUUGUCAUUUCGACCUGUUGCGUUGACAUACAAUUCUGUACAAACUAUCCCUGGGACAUAAACUUAGUCUCAAUAUAAAACCUGUUGUUUAACAAAUCUGCUAGGACCUUCAAAAAGUUGGUGCUGGCUUAUCAGCUCAAUAUUCGGUACUAAAAACAUUUACUUGGAUCUACUUCUUCUGGACACAGUUCCACGUAAUGGAAACAUAUUGUUGUUUUAGAUGACAUUACCUUCUUACUUUAAUCCCUGGUGCUACCCAUACUAUAGAAUUGAGUAAUACAUUGUCAAAAACGUGUCUUAUUCAAUUAUUCAUACCUCUGUCCCAAAUUUCCCAUCGUGUCUUGUACAGCCUGUUUGAAUUCAGUGUGUACUGGCAGCUAUUGUUCCACAGGAAGCUGAUCUCUAACCCAAACAACAGAUUACUUAAACACAAGAGCAAUGGACCAGGCCUUGAAGAGUGAGCCUGGUCCAAUGCUCAAUCCCUUUGUCUUACUACUUGAAAUUACUCAGAUAUUAUGUUAUUGGAGUGCUAUCUGAAAGCCAAUUACUAUUCACUUUGUUACUUUCACUAGUCUCCAUAUCUGUUUCCUUCUUUCCCAAUAGGAAGACCUUCUCAAUCACUUUGUUAAUACACACAGAUCACUCUCAAACAACAUUCUGUUUUCUCCCCUAUUGCAAGGUUUAAAACAAAACAAACAUGAUAACCUUCUCCAUAUUGGAAGGCAUUGAUUUCAUUUUAGUCUAACCUAACAAUGUUAGUCUAUAUAUUUAUUUCAAUUUUCUGUUGGAUAUUCACUUUCUGCUUCACACUUAUUAAAUGUCUAUUUUAAGCUUCAUAUGUAAUAUGCCAAAUGUAUAAAAUACAUUGGUCAAUUUAGAAGGGGAGAGAUAGGCAGUGCUAGCCUAGUUAUAAUAACUGUUUAUCAGUUCACUGUCAUUGGAAUGUUCUAUCCAUAAGGUUUCUGGCACUUGAGACAAAAUAGACUGGGAGGCAGUGUCAGACCCCCAGUCAUCCUGGGGGACUGGUUCAAUUUGCCUGCUUACUCAUUGGUUUAAUAUCUCAUCGUUUGGGAUAUCAACAAAAACUCCAUCAGAGGUACAAUCAAUUGUAGCCUUAAGUUUAGUUAACAGAAAAUCAUGUUCAACAUUCAUUGGUUCUAUUUAUAGUUUAAAUUGUUAGGGGUAAGUCAAGUCCCAUACAAUGCUUUAACCUUAUCAUACCUCAGAUUAUCCAUAAAGGGAUCACUCUGAACAUUUCUCAUAAUACCUUUGACACAACUUACAUAGUCUACAUGUGGGUGUGCAAAUUGUAUAUCUUUUUUUUUCUAUUGUUACAUCUCUAGUAACCCAUUAUGCUCAAUAUUAUGUUACUUUAUCUCUAAAGUUUCAAUCUCUUAUUAUCCAAAUGUCAAUCAGCUAUUUAUCCAUAUUUCUUAAUAUCCACAUUUCAAUCAAUCUUAUUAUUCAAAUUUCAAUCAGCUUAGUUUGUCAUAUCUCACAAUCACGCAACUUUCACAUCGACUUUCACUUUCACAAAAUCACUCCCUAAAAACAAAAUCCUAUGGAACAAUCCUUGGAUUGCUUUUCAGAAUGCACAUUGGUCCACAUGGACAACUAGGUGAAGGAUGUUUUGAACUAACAAAAAGAGUUCUACAAGCAGUUGUUACAAAAAUAACAAAAUAGCUUGAAGUGUUUUGUCCAAAUAUAGGUGGAGUCAACUAAUAAAAGAAUGUAUGACCUGACCAGAGAGGUCCAGGACCUGAAGAACAGUUUGCAGUUCUCCCAGUGUCUGCUUGAUGAGUUUAAACAGGAGAACGGCAAGAUGACAGCAAUCUGUAAAUCAUUGAGAGAGGACAUCAAUUCUGUGUAUGAAUCCAUGAUAACAAUGACGGAUAAAUCAAAUUAUCUCGAGGGACAAUCAAGACGGAACAACAUGGUUGUGGACGGAAUUGCAGAAUCUCCACGAGACAUGGAGGGAGUCUGAUGACAAAGUGAGGGAAGUGAUCUCAGAGAAAUUGAAGAUGGACCAGCGGAAGAUUGAGGUGGAGCGCACCAACAGAACUGGAAAUCCCACCACCGGUCCAGGUGACAUGCCCAGGCCGAGGUUGCUGUUCUGGAAGGUAGCUGUUCUAGAAAGAGCCAAGAACUUGAGAGGAAUGUACAUCUUCCUCAACAAGGACUAUCCUGAAGCUGUGCGCCAGAAGAGAAAAUACCUUACCCCAGCCAUGAAAGCUGCCAGAGCGAGUGUGGACAUUGCUUACAUCCGCUAUGACAGGCUCAUUGUCCACCCUCCCUCCUAAAAAUGCCUGGAAGGGAUGAGAGAACCAAGACUAUGGAUUCAUAGCUUUAACCUCACAGCACACACCACACUUUCGAACACCAACUGAUUAAUGGAUUGCAGAAUGUAUAUUUUUGUCUCUUGCUUUCUCUGAUAAGCUACCCAGGAAAGGGCUGAAAAUAGCCCAUAUUAAUAUAUGUAGCCUAAGAAAUAAGGUUAAUGAAAUCAAUAACUUGCUGACAUCAGAUAACAUUCAUCUAUUAGCCAUUUCUGAGACUCACUUAGAUAAUUAAUUUGAUGAUACAAUACAAGGAUAUAACAUCUAUAGAAGAGGCAGAAAUGCUUAUGGGAAGUGUUGCUGUAUAUAUUCAGAGCCAUAUCCCUGUAAUGCUUAGAGAAGCUCAUAUGUCAAGUGUUAUUGAAGUGUUGUGGUUUCAGGUUCACUUGGCCCAUCUAAAGCCUUUUCUUUUGGGGUGUUGCUAUAGGCCAACAAGUGCUAACAGUCAGUAUCUAAAUAAUAUGUGUGAAAUGCUUGAUAGUGUAUGUGAGGUAAACAGAGAGGUCUACUUUCUUGGGGACCUGAAUAUUGACUGGUUUUCAUCAAGCUGUCCGCUCAAGAGGAACCUUCUUACUGUAACCAGUGCCUGUAAUCUGGUUCAGGUUAUUAGUCAACCUACCAGGGUGUUUACCAACACUACAGGAACAAGAUCAUCCACAUGUAUCGAUCACAUUUUUAGAACUUUGUUCUAAAGCUGUAUCCAUACCCAUUGGAUGCAGUGAUCACAAUAUUGUGGCUAUAUCCAGGAAAGCCUAAGUUCCAAAAACUGUGCCUAAAAUUGUGUAUAAGGGAUCAUACAAAAGAUUUUGCUGUAGAUGAUGUAAAAAAUAUUUGUUGGCAAGUCAGUUAAGAACAAGUUCUUAUUUACAAUGAUGGCCUACAAAGGAACAGUGCUUUGUUCAGGGACAGGAUGACAGAUUUUUAAACCUUGUCAGCUCAGUGAUUCGAUCCAGCAACCUUUAAUUUACUGGCCCAACACUCUAACCACUAGGCUACAUAUCGCCCUAAAAUGAAUAAGGAGCAUCCAGAUGCUGCACUUCAUGAAUUUAUGAAAUAGCUUUUUCCAAUUAUUGAUAAACAUGCACCUGUUAAGAAGCUGACUGUUUGAACUGUUCAGGCUCAGUGGAUUGAUGAGGAAUCGAAAAACGUUACGGUUGAAAGAGAUGAGGCAAAAGGAGUGGCUAAUAAGUCUGGCUGCACAUCUGAUCCUCAUGUAGCUACCCUGCACACCAGCUGCCAAACCUUCAAUCUGCACUACAGCUAAAGUACACAGAACACUACAGCUUCCUCUUUCUAUGUAUAUUUGGGUGGACACUUGACUUUCUUAUCACCCCUUGCAACAUUUCUCCUUCACCCUGCUUGAGUUAGUGGGUUGGUUUAUCUAUCAAUCUAUCAAAGUCUCUCUGUCACUCUCUCUCUCUGUCUUUCUCUCUCUGUCUCAGUACAUUGUUGUAAUGAUGUGCAAACAGUUAAAGUACGAAAGGGAAAAUAAAUAAACAUAAAUAUAAGUUGUAUUUACAAUGGUGUUUGUUCUUCACUGUUUGCCCUUUUCUUGUGGCAACGGGUCACACAUCUUGCUGAUGUGAUGGCACUCUGUGGUAUUUCACCCAAUAGAUAUGGGAGUUUAUCAAAAUUGUAUUUGUUUUCGAAUUCUUUGUGGAUCUGUGUAAUCUGAGGGAAAUACGUGUCUCUAAUAUGGUCACACAUUCGGCAGGAGGUUCUCUCUCUCUCUCUCUCUGUCUCUCUGUGUUUCUCUCUCUCCGCCCACAUUAUAUCCCCUCUCGCUCUAUUUCUUACACGUCUAUCUUUAAGUUUCUGUAUCCCCAUCUCUUGUUAAAAAAGUGCCACCACUAACACCUGCCUCGUUGGGUCUGUCUCUCUUGAAACCAUCAUUCAGACUGUUCAUUUUAUAGCAACACAUUGGUGAGUUUACUUUUUUUUUUUUAAAUCAAUCAUAAUUCAUCAAAUCGCCCCUAUGUUUAGCAUUUUAUGGCGUGGAUCUGUUUGAACAUUUUCUCUCAACUUCCUAUGUGUGACCAUCUUGUCACGGCUCUUUCCACUCUCUGUAUGUCCAUCCUUCAGCUUCCCACUCUCCACUGAAUCUCUCCCUCCACAUCUCCUCCUCACUUUUCUUCCACCACUGUUUCUCUCCUUCCACUGUGUUUUUAUUCAGUCUUUUUAGGACUUUUACAUAUUUCCACCCCUUUUCUUUUUUUUGUGUGUGACCAUGGUGUAUUUAGUUUCAGAACUGUUAGAAGAAUCUUAGUUUAUGUAGUUCAGUCCUUGAGCUGUUCUUGUCUAUUGAGGUUUUGUAUUAUAUCAUGUUUUAUUACUUGUGUGGAGCCCAGGAAGUGUAGCUGCACCUUCAGCAACAGCUAAUGGGUAUCUGAAUAAAAUGCCAAUAACAAUCUACAAAAUGAAAUAAUUGCAUUGGGGGUGAAGGGUGUGGUUAAUGGUUACAUAUCAAGUGGGCCUUUGCUUAAAACAUUUAUGUUAUCUGUGCUAAUGCUGCAUAAGUGCUAUGCAUAUAAACAGAGUAUGUAAACAGCACAUCCCUCAGUGAGAUCCUUAUUAAAGAUCCUUAUUAAAUCAGUGUGCCACCCCAAUACAGCUACCUUUACAAAGGCAGUCUAAUUCUAAUAUUUCUCCUACUAAUUGGUCUUUUGACCAAUCACAUCAGCUCUGAAAAAGAUCUGAUGUGAAAAGAUCUACUGUGGUUGUUCAAAAGACCAAUUAGUGGAAAAAAGGUCAGAAUUGGCUGCCUGUCUAAACACAGCCUACUGUACCCUGCCUGCCUGCAUCACAUGAAAAUGUGUAAUGGGAAAUGUUCAGAUAUGCCUUCAACUUAUUGGCUGGUUGGUCAUAUGCAUAAAUGUAAAGGCAUUGUAGGAUGUAGAAAGAGAGAGAAAACAUUGCUUAACAUAUUUUGCAUAAUCAAGUUGGCAAUCUAGGAUUAACUAUGCCUUGUUGAUAACUUUAAUCUGAUGAGCAGAAUGUCACAUUUGUACGUCAUAUGAAACAACAAGUCCACAUACUCUACCGUUCCAAAGUUUGGUGUCACUGAGAAAUGUCUUUGCUUUUGAAAGAAAAAAAGCACAUUUUUAUCCAUUAAAAUAACAUCAAAAUGAUCAGAAAUACAGUGUAGACAUUGAUAAUGUUGUAAAUGACUAUUGUAGCUGGAAAUUGUAGUUUUUUUUGUGGAAUAUCUACAUAAGCGUACAGAGGGCCAUUAUCAGCAACCAUCACUCCUGUGUUUAAAUGGCACAUUGUGUUAGCUAAUCCAAGUUUAUCAUUUUAAAAGGCUAAUUGAUCAUUAGAAAACCCUUUUGCAAUUAUGUUAGCACAGCUGAAAACUGUUGUGCUGUUUAAAGAAGCAAUAAAACUGGCCUUCUUUAGACUAGUUGAGUAUCUGGAGCCAGAAAUGGCCAGAAAUGGCCAGAAACAUAGGACUUUCUUCUGAAACUCGUCAGUCUAUUCUGGUUCUGAGAAAUGCAAGAGGACAAGUACAUUAGAAUGUUUAGUUUGAGAAACCAACGCUUCACAAGUCCUCAACUGGCAGCUUCAUUAAAUAGUACCCGCAAAACACCAGUCUCAACGUCAACAGUGAAGAGGCAAGUCCGGGAUGCUGGCCUUCUAGGCAGAGUUCCUCUGUCCAGUGUAUGUGUUCUUUUGCCCAUCUUAAUCUUUUCUUUUUAUUGGCCAGUGAGAUAUGGCUUUUUCUUUGCAACUCUGCCUUGAACAAGAACAAGAAUAAGGGUUUUGUAACGAAUCUCUUCGUCGUCUGAGGAGGAGUAGGAAGGAUCAGACCCAUAUGCAGCGUGAUCCAGUCAUUAAUAAAUCAAUGUAUGGAUCACCUCCAAUUGAAAGGAAAUAAACUGGAUCUCCACCGCAGCAGUUUUACCUUGGAUUGAGCAAAGAUUUCUUCAACUUUUCUGAGAACUAUUUGAAGAGGCAUGACUAAUUCCGAUCCAGAAAUGAAAGACCAAACCACAUCCUCCUUUGUCGUCUUGACUGUCUUCUUCAUCCUGGUCACCCUCGUUGUCGUCCUGGUCGUCCUGUACAUGUGGCUAAACCGCCAGACUAAUGGCCAGUACACAGUCCACCAACUGGUCCUUGGGGAGGGUGGGGCCAGGGACCGGGUGAGGGGUGGGGUCCAAGUCCUAGAGGUGUGGUUCAGGCGUCGCCUUUGGCCUCUCAGUGAGGAUGAGGAGACUGUAGGAGAGGAGGAACAGAGAGACAAAGAGGAGGAUGUAGAGAGAGUGAGUGAGGGAGGGGAAAGCAAGGGGGAGGGGAAGAAGGAGGAGGGGGAUGAGAGGGAGGGCCGAGUGGAUGACUCUUCGGAUGAGUACUCCAGUGAGGAGGACUGUGGCCUGACGGAGAGUGUGAAGGUCAUGGACGAGAAGAAGGAGAGGAGAGAGUGUGAGGGGAAGCGAGAGGAGAAUAUGGAAGAAAAUGGGGAUAGCAAAGGUGAUGAGGGAGCAGUGGGAGGAGAAGAAAGUGGACAGGGAGGUUUGCUGAUACACCUGCAUCAGUCCUCUGGUAGUGCUAUCUGGUCUGAAGAUUAUGAGGGAGGCAAAGACAACAAUCAUGUGACUGCAUUGUGAGGAAAGGAUCAGAAAGGGGAAAGAGUUCCAUUAAUACAUUUUUGUACAGUAAUAGCGCUUGACAGAACAUUGGCUACUUGUCAUCAUCACCAUCAUUGUCAUAAUUGUCAUAAUUGUAAACCUUACAAACCAGUGUUAUAACAAUCAAGGCAGAAAACAACAGAGUGUACUAAAUCAAUCCAAUCAUCAAAGUGACUGACAAGAGCAACAAUUGCAGCUUGAAUACAUGAAGCUAUAUAAAUGUAUUUUAGAUAUAAAAUAUAAUUUUUAAACGGUAUCAAAGUUUCAUGGGUUUCAAAGUUUUGGGGUUUGCACUGUUGCUAUGAGAUAAUUUGUAUUGUAAAUAUUUGUGUUCUGUAUAUUUUAUGAAUUUAAUAGCUAUUUAGAUCCUUCUUCCUGGAGAUCUACUGUCCUGUAGGUUUUCAGUCUAAUCCUAAUUUAGCAUAUCUGAUUCAGCUAGUUAAGGUAUUGUUGAGCAGCUAAUUCGUAGAAUCAGGUCUGUUAAAUUAGGGUUGGACUGAAAACCCACAGGAAGGUAGAUCUCCAGGAAGAGGGUUGUGCAGCCCUGGCCUAUGGCUUGACUUUGUGCUAUACUGUUUCAUGUCUUAUGUGCAUGAUGUUUAUUUCCAGAGUGACAAUUUUAUACUUUUUAUUAUCUGAUACAACUUAAAGGCCCAGUGCAGUCAAAAUUAUGUUUUGUCUCAUGUUGUACAGCAACUCAUGGAACAAACACUGUAAAAGUGUGAAAAGAUUUGAUCAGUGUUAUUCCUGAUAGUUGCUGGUGGAAAAUACAAUCUACACAGGGCCUUUACAUUUUUAUUUUUGAUGAGAGACUGUUACAGAGGAGUGUAAAUGUUUUUUAAGGCUGGAACAUGUUGUUGAAUCGUAUUGUUGUAUGUUGUAAUUCUGUAAUGUAUUGAUUGUUGUUGCCUUUUUGGCCAGGUCUCCAUUGAAAAAGAGGGUCUUAAUGUGCUUUUCCUGGUUAAAUGAAGGUUAAGAACAUUUUUUUAAAUCAGCAGGUUUGCAUGGCAUUCCCCUCCCACUCAGACCACUUCCUGACAGUCCUAGCAAAAUUCUUGCCUGAGAAUUUUUUGUUGUUGCAAAAAGGCUAUUGUUGUCCAUUUUAAUGAAAAACUAUUAUAGUAAGGUUCUUAAUUGUUACCCAGAAGUAAUUUGAUAUUGAUAUAAAAACGGUUGCAUGAGGCUUUUAAGUGUUUGCGCUGAUGUGAUUAUAUUGUCUGUUUCCUUUUCUUAAAACUGCAUUGUUGGUUAAGGGCUUGUAAGCAAGCAAUUCACUGUUGUAUUCGGCGCAUGUGAUAAAUAAUAUUUGAUUUGAUUUAAUUUGAUUGAUAGUUUUUUGUUGAAAUAAAAAAAAUAUUUUCUAAAUGAUUAUUA
ensembl:lncRNA